GGAUUACAGACUUGAGCCACCGCGCCCGGCCAUAGUUCCAUUUUUUUGUACAUAUCCCUCUCUAGCCUUAACUCUAUAGACAUUCGUUUUUCCUCCCCACAGCUUGUGUCAUCCAGCUAACAUUAUAUCAAGUGCAUUGUCCCAUGUUUCUACCUUGUCUUCAUUAUUAUAAUUUGUCAAGUAAUUGGAUUGUACUGACUGCAGUGUUACUCCUCAUUUUCUUUCCCCCGUCCUUUCCAUACUACUUAAAAAGCAAGAAAGAAAAAAAAAUGUAUUUAAGAGAAAAUUCUAUGUAGUCGUAAUGGAAUUUAUUUUCCUGAGUGCAUGGGUGCGCUCCAGACAGGUAACUGUGAUUGUGUCAUCUCUUCUUACUAAGCAUCUGACCACUCACUACCUGUGCAUCUGAUCCCUAGGCUCAUGGCAUGAGGGGUGUGGCUCUUGGAUGUUUUUGUUUUAUGAACUUAGUAUCAGCAGAACCGUAUCUACUCUAAGAGUGUGGAAGCUUUGUAAAUUUAACUAACGAUUUGUAGGUUUUGUGAAAAUAGCCGGCUCUCUAGGUAGAGACAUUUUAAUUCUGUUGCUUUUUUUUUGUAGCAUAUUAUUGGAUUGCAAAUGUUUACUUAGUAUGAAAAAUGGAUAUAAUUAAGUUCUAAAUAGGGACUAGAUAUUAACUUCAAAAUGAAUUCACAGCUUUUAUGCUUUGCAUAUGCCAUAAUGCUGCUGUUACCAAGGAUUUAAAGCAGUUUUCCACUUCUGCUAUCUUAUAAAUUAAAACCAGAGCCCUAGACGUUAUCCAGCAAGGCAGCUAUAAAAUUUGAAAAAAUCUUCAGAUCAUUGUCAGGAUUAAGUUUGUUGAAAUUCUAUCUGGAAAGUAGACUUUUUCUUGUAGUAUUAUUAUUAUUGACUCAUACAGUGCAACUCAUACUGGUUUCAUAUUCAGAAGGUAUAUAGCAUCCAUUGUAAUAUUUCAGAUUAAUUUCUGCAGUCUUUCUUUAAAAAUACAGAUCCUCAGAACAAAUUGUCUAAACAGUGUACAAAAUCAAAUCACCAGGCUUCAAGUAUAUUUUAUGUGAAUGAUAAGUGCUCUUUGAAUUAGCAAAAGGAAGACAAACAUUUCAAUUACCUCUUUAAUAUUAAAUUUUUGUUUCUGAAUUAUAAAUCUUUGGUAUAUAUUUUACACUAAUUAUAUUUUCAAUCAGCAUAGUCCAGAAAACACUGAACCUGACUGCUUUUUAGUUGGAAAGAGUACCUAUUUAGACUUUCUAAACCACAGUGUGUGGCUAAGUGAUGAAUAUGCAUUAUUACACUUCCAAAAAUACUUUUUGGACCAACAUAUUGACUUAAGGGAGCAUACUUUGUACUGAAAAAGUGAAAUCACAUCAAAUUUAACAGUUUAACCCUGCAUAUUUGUAGAAUUUUAGUUAGAUCAUAGGAUAAUGACAUUUGCUACAGUCAGCAAGCAUGUAAAAUAAACAUUUUGAAGUUUGUUAUUUGUGUUCUACAAUAGUAAAUAUUUGGCAUCUACCAUAACCACCGCUACCAAAAUGUGUAUGCUGAAAUUGUAUCUCCAGGAUGAAUAAAGAGGUGGUGGAAGGCAAGCUGACGCCUAUUAGAAAAAAGGUUUAGAAAGAGAGAGAGGGCCUAGACUUUUCUUAGCUUCACUCCAACAUAGGGCCUGUAGCACCUAUUUAUAACCAAUUUCUAAAACUUCAAGGUGGGAAUUAAUAGAUUGUCUCCAGUUUUAUAUAGUUCCUCUUUAGUCAGUUGAUCUUUAUUAUUACCCAAAGCUUCAAGUGUUUUUUGUUUUUAUUUUUUGCCAAAAGCUUCUUACCAAUGUGAUUAUCAGUGUUUAAAUUCAUUUAUAAUGAAAUGGAUUUGUGUCUUUCUUGCUCUACAGUAGACAGUGAAGCCUCCAUGACCUGUGUAAACUUCAGAGUGAGGCGAAUGUUUAAACAGUAGGUGAGUGCUCCUACAGUGUCUCUGGACUGCAUUUCCUUGCUUACAGAGCCCUGGAGCUGAGCCAACCCGCAUUAGCGGUAGGAGGAGAGGCUCGGUUUUGAGAGCCCUGGGUUUAUUUCUGGCUAUGGGGAUAGGAUAUGAGAAUGCGGGAGAAGGUGUAAAUAUAGUUUGAGGGAGGUCAUAGACUUGGAGGUUCUUGCCAGGGGUAAAUGCUGGAUGGAUUUGUUUAUGGAUGGAUCUGAUUAUAGCUGCUUCAUGCUUUUACCUCUGGAGUUGGUGCUUCCAAGGGGUAAUGCUCAUUGUCUGGAUCACUUCUAGCGGGUAUCUCAGAAUUCUUUGCUGCACAAACCAUAGCAGUUCUCUUCCCUUUCUUUUGGUAUUUGUAUUCAAAUGCCUGACUUCCUGACCUGCUGUGAGGGUUGUACACUAAACUUCUUGGGAAAAGAUGGGUGUGUAAAUACUACAAGCUUUAUAGCAUUUGGGGAUGGAGUUGUGGGAUUUGGGAGUUUGUGACCCCAUCUAUCUGUGUAUCACUAUCUUUAAUGUAGAGAGACGGACAGAGCAGCAGUUCCUGAACCCUGUCUUUUGUUUCUCCAUGGGUUGGUCACUGAUUUCCUCUGUGCUGGGUCUGAAUCCCUUUCCCUUGCCUCCCCCCAUGUGGAUUCAGGAAGGCCCACAUCCGACAGCUGCCCUUGGUCAACCCCCAGCCCUGCGCACAAGUGUUCUCUGCUUUUUGGAGCCAGGGGCACUGUCCAGCCAGCUGAUGACAGCUCAUUGGUGGCACUGGUCUCACUCCAGCGCUGGCUCUGUCCUCUUGGCCCUGUUGCUUCCUCCUUAGAGGAUUAGUCACCCCAGUCUUGGGGCAUUUUACCCACCUAUAUGACUAGCACAUGUUGCAUCCACUUGCCAAGGAGUGUUAGGGAUACAGUCUCAAGAAAACCUGCCCAGUUGAAAUGACUUCCUCGAGAAAUUUAAAGGAUAAAUUCCAUAAGAAGAAACCAUAUUUUAUUAAUGAGAGACAAACUUGUGCACUAGUGGGAGUUCAGACUUGGAAGCCAGUGCAUAGUCCAGCCUGGCGACGUGCAUGAUGUGUUACCCUGGCCAAAGCUCCCCAACCUCUGUUCAUGGUUUCCAUCUGUAAAAUGGGAAUAAGAGUAGUAUCCAUUUAUUUUGGGUGGCUAUGAGGAAUACUUCAUUCAUUCAUGUAAAACUCUUAAAUAGUGGCUUAUAUACAGGAAGCACACAGUAAAUGUACAUUACCAUUGUAUCUUUGUACCUCAACAUCUAACCAUAUGUAUAACACUAUGGUUUAUACAUAGCGCAUACGCUUUAAUGCUUUGUUGAGUAAGUGUAAUACUCAGAGAUGGGCAAGUGAUUUCCUCCUCUCUUACCAUAAAAUAAAAGUAGUAUUUGGUUGCAAUAAGGCAUCAUAGGCAUGAAGACAUUUACUCCCUAGCUGCUGCCAGGGGAGAAGAAUGUUCAAAAUUCUAUGUUGAUAAUUGGGUGCCUGCGAUUUGUUAAUCAUACUUAACAAACUCAGUCUAUCAGGUGUUGCACUAAUAUUUACUGGCUCUGGAGGUGAAAGGACAAAGCCAUCAGGUGAUUUGUUUCCAAAAAGUAUUGUUACUGGGAUAUUUCAGACUCCAAAAUGUGUGGUGGUCAUUAUUAACGAGACUUUGCCCUUUCUAUAGUUAGGGGCUUACUCUGCAUUGUAACUUAGUUUGCUUUUAAGGCAAUAGAUGGGUAGAGGGUAGAUAGAUGCUCUGUAAUUGAAUAGCCUACUGGGCUUCUGCAUAGUCUACUCAGUGUCUAGCACAGCACUGUGUAAGUUAGCAGGUGUUCAGUAAAUGUAUUUUAAAUCAAUGUGUAAUUGAUGGGAUAUUUUUCUUCACAUUAUAGCACAUUGAUAGGUGCUUGUGAGGAAGUUUUGCUCAUGAUUUUCUUCCUAGGCAUGCGCCACCUAAUGUGUUUCUCCCUAGCUGUGGGGUAUUGAAUUUGAGGCUGCUCUUGGCAUUACUGCCCAUCUCUAAGAGGAACAAAUGGUCCCCCAAAUGGUCCAGAUGCAACAGAAGGGGAAGGAGUGCCACCACUCAUUUUAAGGUGCCUGGGCCAUACUCUGGAUGAAGCUCACAGUGCUAACAGGAGGUAAGCCUUUUUUUUUUUUUUUAAGUUAAAAAAGUUAAUUUAAAAGUUUAUGCUGAUGCUGUUUAAUAUGGCAAAGACUUAAAGGGUAUACGUCCUUCUGUUUGCUUGGUGGGGACUGCUAUCCUGGAGAUAAGAGAUUGUGAUGCAGAGAUUGGACCGUUCCUGAUGUGGCGACAGUCCUCUGACUCCAGUCAUUUUCAAAGUCUGUCUUUUUGGUUAACAAAAGACGUCAAGCUAGAGAUUAAUAUGUGCAGAAAACAGUUUUUAAAAAGUGAUCAUAUCUACAAAGGUUAUAAGAACAUGAACCUGAAGUCCUGUUACCAGCAUUUUGUAAGUGCUGCUUCUCAUUCUAAAAAUAUUUAUUGAUUUUAAAAACAAAAUCUGUAACAGGAUAGCAACAGUAAAAAUCCUUCUUAUGGAGAAAUGUAGAGCUUUUAACUAACAUACAUACUCAUUCAAACAAAACAGCUUCUCUUGUUUUUAAGGAAACAUUUCUGUUGUCCAUUGUAUAAAUUGUAAUAACUUUUCUUUCCUUUUCUUUCUUUUAGGUCUCUGUGUUCCAGAUUUUUUUUUGUAACUAUGAAAUUCUUGCCUUGUAUUCAACUUAAAAUGAAAUAAAUUUAUUUCAGUGCA